CGUUUCUUAAUAUUGUUACUUUUCCAUGCUGUGUCUGAGGAACCUUUUCAAUACGGUCCGGAUUGCUAGCUCCCGUUCAUAGUUUUGCUACAGAUGAUACACGAGGAAUCUUUUUAUGGCGGUUCUUCCUUCUAAUGACCGGCAUAUCUAUGAUUCUUUUCUCCCAGAUGAAGCAGCAGGCAUCGGUCCGUAGAACCUAUAAAAAGGAGAUGGUUGUGGCGCGAAGUACUCUUGUGCACCUACGUCAUUCGGCUCGCGCGCAAGCCCGCCCCCUUAUGUUAUGGAAGAAUUGAGCUUAUUGCUGGGCUGGUUAUUCAGAGCCAGCAAUUGGCUGUCGGAUUUCGUCCCGCAACUAGAAGAAGAUCGCUUCGGGGUCACUGUGGUGUGGCUGAAUGUAGAGCAGUCCGCCCUUACAGCCUUUGAUCAGUAAAUUAUUUAUAACUUCGGAAGAUGGUCAAGGUAGCUUGCUUCCAAGCCACUGCACUAGAUGGGCAUGUUGGUUCAAAUAUACCCUUCAUUAUAUUUUGGGUUCAAAUAUAUCCAUGGCGUAAUAGUACUAUUAGUUCAAAUAUAUCCUUCUUCUGUUAAGUUUGUCCAAGGCGAAUAUUGUCCAAUCCUACGGCACUGAUAUUCGAUGAGGUGGAUAUCACAUGGCAUGUCACCUCAGCGCCACUAAUCCAUAUACAAAAGAUUAAAAUUUGAAGUACAAUAUUUUUUAUGGUAGUGUAAUGGUGAAAAUAGUGGUGGAGCGAAAGAAAAUUUUAGUGGUGGAACAAAAAUAGAAGGGAGGGAUAAAAUAGAUUACGGGCGCUGAAAUGACAAGCCAUGUAGCAUACACAUCAUCAAAUAUAAGUGUUACAUAUGAUUGGAUGUCGACUUAGGACAAACGUAGCGGAAAAGGAAUAUAUUUAAACUAGCAAUAUAAUGAUAGGAGUACAUAUGAGCACAAAAUAUAACAAAGAAUAUAUUUAAACUUUUUUAAAUAAUGCAAAAAUAUAUUUGACCCUUUCCGUUUGUACCAUUUGCCUUCACACUAACUUAGAAAUUAGAAAGCAGGUUCUUUUUCAAAGAAAGCACGAUUUUCACAUCAUAGGCUCGUAUAGGUGGCUUUAUUUAAUUUGUAGCUUUCUUCUCAUCGUUCAGUUCUUAUUUAUCUUUUUUGUCAUCCUUUCUAAACUUUAGGACAACACAUUGAAUAAAAGGUUAAAAUAAUAAUUGGUCUAGUUAAUUUUUAGAUUGAUCAUUUAAAAAUAAUUAACAUUUAUUAAUUUAUUAAAAGAUAGCUAUUAUUUUGUUGUACUCUUUUCGGUCCAAAAUAAGUAAUUUUUGGAUAUUUUCACAUAGAUUAAGAAAUUCACCUUUUAGCAUUAAUUAGCAAUAAAAAUUAUUAUAUUAACUUUUAUUAUCUCACAUAAACACUCAUAACACAUAUUUCAAUAUUAUUUACUCCAAGAACAAUGUAGGAGAAAAAUGAUUAAUGCACUCUUGAAAUUUGAAAAAAUUAUUUAUUUUAGACCACAAGAAAAAGGCAAAAAAAAUCAUUAUUUUGGAUCGUAGGGAGUAAUAGUUAUCGUUCCAAUAUAAUAUAUUGGAGUUUGGUACAUUUGUGUACGAACUUCCAACAUAUUAUGCUGGACUGGUAUACUUUGUUGGAUCCAGUAUAACAUACUAGAGACUGGAGCAUCGAUGCUCCAAACUCUAAUAUAUUAUGCUAGACGGUGUAUUAUACUGGAACUCCAGUAUAUUAGACUGGAGUUCUAGUAUAAUAUAUUGUAACUUCAGUAUAUUAUACAGGAGUAUUUUUCUGGAUUUGGAAUAGUAAUUUCAUUCAGAUUUAUUUUUAUAUGAAAAGUGGCUAAAUUUCAAUUACUUUUGAAACUGUCACUAUUAUUGAAUGACCAAAUCUGGUUAUUUUUGAAUUUCUCCCGAACAAAAGAGAUAAUUUUAUGCACUAAUACUAUAAAUGGCUUUUUACAUGAUCAGAUUAAAUUUCUUAUAAGUUACAAUAACAUGUACAGUAACUUUUUAUUGGAAUCUUUAUACAAAUAGACGGUUGAAUUUAUUGUUUAAUUUAUCUAGUCGAUAUAUAUAAAUUAUACGUUAAUUAUAUACUAGUAAUAGAACUCGCGUAAUGCACGGAUAAAUUAUUUCAAAUUAUAAUGUAGAUUGUUUGAAUUAUGUGCAAAUAGUUUUAAAAUAUAAACCUUACAGAUAAAAAUUAUAUAACAUGAGAAUUUAAUUAUGAAGCGGGAUAUGAAAUUAUUGUUUAUAUUAAUGUUUUACCUAUAAGUAUCCUCACAUUACCACUAUUUCAUUUUAUACAUUCUCUUUCCUAAUAUAUAUUUUAAUUAUUUUUUAUAUUAAUGUUUUACCUAUAAUCAAAAUAAUAUCAUAUUAAUUGUAACUUUUAAUUAGUCUAAUAUAUUAAUACAUAAUUUAUUUGAUUAUCAUAUUCCAAAUAUAUUGAGUUCUCUUAUAAUUCAUUUUUUAUUAGAUGCAGUUAAAUUUUCUUUCCUUUUUAGCUCUAACAUACAAUUUAAUUUUUAAGUUUAUUUAAUCAUAGAAUUUUUUUUAAAUUGUUUGAUUAAAUUAUUUCUAAAUAUUGUAGUAACAUUUUACUCUCAUUUUAGUUCUUUAAUUAAUAUUUUCAAAAACAACAAAAUUCUCAUCUCAAAUUCAAAUAAUUCUUAUCAUUCUAUUUUCUAAAUUGGACAGCAUUUUCCAAAAAUUAUGCUAUGCAUUCAAACUCAAAUUAAUUGCAAUCGAUUAAGAUAUUAAUUAUAAAAAUUAUUUUCUUAAUAAUUUGAACAUAUUAUAUAAAAAUUGUAGUAAUAUUUUCACUGUCAUUUUAUUUCUUUAGAUAAAUUUCUUUCAUAUUUAGUUUUAAGAUACAAAUUUAUUUUUUGUAAAAUUGCCUAUAUUAGAAAUUUAUUUUGUAAAUUAAAAUUUUUUAUUUUUAUUUUUUCAUAAAUAAGACUUCAAUUCUGUAGUAUUAUCCAUAAUUUGAGCAUUCGCAUCAUAGUUUUAAGAGCAUUCUAGUCUCAAAUUUAAAUAUUCUUUUCUUUUCAUUUCUAAUAAUUUAAAAUAAUUUUGCUAUUUUUUAAUCUAAUAUAUAGUCUUAUUAAAUUUUAUCUGGCUUUUCAUUUAAAAUUUUCAUUUAAAUUAUUUAAUAUUUAAUAUUAUUUUUAAGUAUUCUAAAAUAUUUAUUUUAUUUUAUUUCUAAACUCAUGAUUUAUAAAUAUCCUUACAUUAUCUCUUAUUUAUUUUUAUUAUUCAAUAUUUUAGUUGUUGAUUUUACUAUUAGACUUGAGUUAUGAGGAUUUAUAUUAUGACUUUUCUUAUUAUAAUCUAUUAAAGUUUCUCAUCCCAAAAUUAAAUAAGUUUUACUCUUUUUCAUAUGAUAAACAAUCUGAAUUUUUAUUUCUUUCUCUUUUUAUUAUUUAAGUUUGAUUUUUAUAUUAUUCUAUACCUAAUAUUAUUUCAUUGUCAUGUGAAUUUUUAUUAGUCUGUUUGAAUUUAAUAUAAUAUAUAUAAAAAGUUAAAAAACUUUCUCAUCUCAAAUUCAAAUAAUUUUUAUCAUCUUAAUUGGACCAUAUUUUUAAAAAUUCUGUUAUGCUUUCAAACUUAAACUAAUUGAACUCAAUUCAAAUAUUAAUCAUAGAAAACCAAUUUCUUAAUUGUUUGAAAACAUUAUAUCUAAAUAUUAUUGUAAUAUUUACAUGUAAAAUAUUUUUUUGCACGAUUUAUCAAUAUUAAUAUGAAUUUAUUAUUCUUGUUAUUAACAUAUCUUUUACUGGUUAUUUAUUUUUUUCUCUUACCUUAUAAAUAAUCUAUAUACUUUGUGCAAGUUCUAUUCUGCUGCUUGAAUUUAUUUAAUUUUUAAACUCAAUAAAUAUUGACUACCUUAAGUAAAUUAUUGUUUUGUAUUAGGUUAUCUCAAUUUACCUCUCUAUAUAUUUUUAUUUUUUUCUAUUAUAGUUUUUAAUAAAUUAUCCAUAUUUCUAGCUAAUAUAGAAGAAAAUCUAUGAGUGGAUCAAUAUAUAGAUACAAAUAUACAUAUAAAUUAAAAUAUCGCUAUUUAAAUUAGAAUUAUUUAAGAUCUAUUUAGAUUAUGCGUAAAAUUCAUUAAACUACUUCCAUUAAUUAUUUUCUAUAUAUAAUUUCUAAUUAUUAAUAUUGUCCUAAAAUUGGCAAGUGACUUUAUUUUAACUUGCCACUUGACUUAAUCACAUUAUAAACUACUCUUCUUUUAAUAUAAUAUAGAUGAUUAUAUGUAGUGGAAAAUGUAUAUUGAUUGUUAUAGGGGCUCAAGCACUCAUUACUUUUAGAGUCUUGAACUAAGUAUUAUUUAUAUAAAAAAGCUAGUAAUUCUUACAAAUAUAUUACUUGAUCACCCGGUUUUAAUAUUAAUUUUCAGAUAAAUAAUAGUUCAACAUCCAUGAUUAAAAAUUCUAGAUCCAUCACUAAUUAUACGCAUAUUAUGUAGAAAUUCAUACACAUACACAGAGCGGAUAUUGAACAAGGAAUAUAUGUUCAGCCAUAGUUGUUCAAGUGUUGUAAGGAAUCACCUUUGAAACCUUGAACAGAAAACCUAUGGAACCUUCUAGCAUGUUCCUAUCAUUAGAUGACAGACUGAUGGAAUCACAUGCUUAUUUAUAGGUGGAGUCACAUGCGUAUUAAUAUGUAGGUUGGGGACUCUUAGACAAAUACUUUAGCCCUAAGGACUUCUCCAUAAAGUAUAAUUGCCGUCGAGAUUUCUAUAAUAAAAAUUACUAUUUUUUUGCAUCAAAGAAAUUACCAUAUAUGCAUAACUACAAAACAUUAUUUGAUAUAUUAUUUCUUUGAGAGACAACGUAAAUAAUUUAUUACCUUAUAUGUUGGCCACACUAGAAGUCUCUAGAAGAAACGAUGAAUUUGUAACAUAUUUAUACAUGAUUAUACAUAUAUUAUAUAUUUAUCGACUAUUUUUAAUUUAAAUUGUUGGAUAAGCGACUAUUUAAGUUAAUUCUUCUUUCUUUAAACCACACCUUAUAUAAACCUGAAAUUAUAAAACUUUUUUUAUAUAUGCUCCUUUCGCAAGUAAGUUGGUGUCAUCAUUAGCUUUUGAUAGCCAAAUUACCCUAACUUUUGAUGUGAAAAAAGGAUAGUUUGAAUAUUCAAUUUUUUUAGUACACUUUCUUAUGAUCCAAUAAUUGCAUCGUCCAGAUAGAUUUCACCUCAAGGCUCUUUUUUGACAUAUCUUUUAGCAAAUGUCGUUGCUCAAAAGAUUCAACUAGAGAAAAAGCAAGAAAAAAAGUACAUUGAUUUACGUUGAACUGAUUUUGUUUAUUUUUUCAUUUACCCAUAGUAUCUAGUUUCUUUCCAAUUGUAUUGUUGGACCAUACCAAAUCUUUACUUAAAUUCAAUGGCCAACUGACCAGUUUUACUGGAUAUAUUUUCAGUUAAUUUCAAACUGUUGCUGUCUUUUGAUUUGUAGUGUGUAAUAAUAUUGGGAGAAAUUCAAAAAUAGCACAAUUUACAAAUGGUCACUUAAAAACAGUCAUAAUUUCAAAAGUAUUCAAAAUUUAGCCAUUUUUCAUGUAAAGAUAAAUUUGAACGAAAACACUCUUUAAAAUCCGGCAAAAUACUUCAGCAUAAUAUACUGGAGUUUCACUAUUCCAGUCUAAUAUACUGGAGUCUUAGUAUAAUAUAUCGGUUCUGCAUAACAUUACUGGAGAUUGGAGCAGCAGUGCUCUAUUCUCAAUUAUAUUAUACUAGAGCCAGCAAAAUAUACCGGUCCAACAUAAUAUGCUAGAAGUUUAUACGCAGGUGCACCGAACUCCAGUAUGUUAUGCUGGACCGGUCUCGGUUUUUGAAUACAGAGGUUCACCGAACUCUAAUAAUAAUUAUUUUUUAAUGAUCUGGCAAAUGCUGACUAUUUUUGAAUGAUCAAUCCAAAAUCUGGAUAGUCCGUGCUAUUUUUACAAUAAUGUUACUUGAAAAAAGAUAAAGGAAAUGAUGCCCCCUAUGUAUAUAAUAAAAACAAAGGAAGGGAGAAAAUGUUCGACAGUGUAAUAUGUUAUUCUAGGCCCACAUUCACUUUUUUAACGUUGUGUUCAGAUUCGAGUGAUUUAUUUUGCUUUCCAAAAGUCAUUUUUAUUAAGUCAUCAUGAAUUACUACUAUUUAUCAUAGAGAUGUUAUGGGUAACAACUUCAUAAGUAUAAUUUAAUCUUAUAGCCGUAGCAUAGACGUAUGUAGAUGUGGCAAAUGAGUGUUUUGGAUCAAAUUUAAACACGUUAAAAUGGAUCACAUUGAUAAGUGGGUCGUAAUUUUGCUCAAAAUUUACUUGAAUCAAAAUAGUUGGGUCAGCAUAAGUCAAUUACCGAGUCUUAUUUUCAUCCAAAUGACGAUAUGUAAUUAGAAAUAACGAGUCAUAACUCAACCUAUUCAGUUAGUUGAAGAGUAGAAAAAAAAAAAGAAGAUAGAUCCUAUUUCGAUACAAAUGAAAACAAAGGGAAUUAUUUCAUGGUCUCUUCUUCUUCAACAAUAUAUAUAAUUUGUAGAUGAGAUAUUUAUUCAAAAAUUUCCUUCAAUAUUUUUUAGUUAGGCAAGGUAUAAAUUUGUAAAUUAAAGAAUAUUCCACCAGUACAUAUUCUGGAGACCAAGUAUCUGAUUGCCUUUAAAGUUGAAGGAUUCAUUCAAACAAACAACUCCUUUCUUUUCUAGCAUCUGCUUAUUACAAAACUGAUUUUCUUUUUCUUCUAAAAUUUGUAGGGCCUAUCAUUAAUUACUUUCGGAUAUAUUUGCUAGCGAAUAUUUUCCUGAAUACUUUUUUUUUUGUUAAAUUCCAUCAUUUGCUCCAUGUUUCUUUUCUGAUUCGUAUAUAUAUAUAUAUAUACAACUUUGUACACUCAUAUAUACACACACAACUUUGUUACAACCAACGGUUGCAGUACGACGGAUCAGAGAAGGACCUAGGAUUUGAAGAUCGAGAGUGCACUUUUGGAUUCAACCAAUAUAUAUUUUGUAUAUAAAAUGCCCACUACUAAUAUAUUAUUAUUAUUUUCUAAAAACAUAAAUACGUAUAUAUGAAAUUUUUGCUAAAUUUUACAGGUAUUGGUGAUCGUAUAGUAUACAUAGAUCCGCCUCUGCGACAGAUAACAUCUCUUAUCUUUAAUAAGAUGUCGCUGCAGGUUUAAAUCACGGGAAUAGAAUAAAAUUAGUAGGGAAUAUUUUUCUUUAAUAAAUCUUACACGACGUGAUCUAAAUCAGUCAGGCUUCAGACUAAUAUAGAAACGGAGUGUUUAAGAAAAAACUUGUCAUCUCUUUGAACUUUCCUCGAAGUUGGGUAAGAUGUUCUUUUCUGGAUAAAAUUGACGCGAACGACAAAUGAUUUGAUGAGAAGGUGCACAAUUAAUAAUGCUCAUUUUUGUAUCUCUCUUGAUUGAUAUAUAUAUAUAUAUAUAUACCCUCGUGAUCACGUAACUGCAUUUUAUAUAUAUAUAUAUAUAUAUAUAUAUAAGAAAAAGGAAAAAUUAUUUUUAGGGGCCAAAAAAAUAAAUUGAGUCAAUAAACAUAAUGAUUUGGAUUUUGCCCAAGUUAUGAAAAUGCCUAUUAUGAAAAACUAGCUAGCUACAAAUUGCUCAAACUAAGUAGAGAAACAGUAUACUGGUUGGGGUACCUACACAUUGGAUAGUGCAAUAAGUUAGGUUAUACUAAAGUAACUAAAUUUUAUUUAUUAUAACAGUAAAGUCAUAAAACGUUACAUAUUAUUAUAGUUAGAAACGGAGAUAGAAUUUUAAGUUUAUGGGCUUUUAAAAUUUUAAAUUAAUAAUUUAUACAUAUGCAAUAGAUUCUUUGAGAAAAAUACAAUGUUUGAACCAAAGCUACUGGAUUCGGUCAAACCCCUUCUGAUACCAGUGGUGAAAUCAAGAAUCUUUCCAAAGGUGUUCAAACUUGAAAGAGUGAAAAAAUUAUCCGACAAAGGGUGUUCCGUAUAUGUUAUAUAUCUCUAAAAUCUAAUAUUUUGUUUACAUACACAAUGUAAUUUUUCAAUGAAAAUGGCACAUGUCUGAUACUCUAGCUCUGCCCCUGAUUAUCGUAAAUCCACCUUGAUGAUAGAUUAAAAGAAAGUAAUUUUACUAUAAUCAAUAAAGUCAAAUUAUUUCACUGUGAUUAAAAUAAUAUUGAGAUUUUACUAUCACAAUAAAUAAAGUUUAAUGACAACACGUGAAAAUAACUAUGCUUGGCAUGCGCUAAGAAAACAUUCCAAAUUGCUAUUAUUGGAGAUAAGAAAGAAAUGUAUAUGAAGUUAUUUCAUUGUCCAGCUUUCAGUAGAUAGUGAUAGGGAAAAAAGGAAGAGAUGAUUUAUGCCAAAAGUAAAUUAACUUUUGACUAACAUAUCCAAAGAACUAUCCAGAUACUGUUGAUCAUAAAGCUUUUAAAACAUUUUGUCAUUUUGAUACCAGAAAAAGUAAGGAACUCAACUUUACGUGUGGUUUUGUGUAGGUUUGAUGAGAACCUUGGUGUGCUAUAAUUUGUCAAUCUUUUAAAGUGAAAGAUGACGUGGCGUGAUACGUGGACUGGUCAAAUAGUUAAAGAGUAAUGAAUGAUUAAAAAGGUACGAAAGAUAAUAGGCACGGGGUGAAGAAAAUGAAACAGACACGAGAAAGGGUCUUAGAUAUGAGUCUCGUGUAUUCAAGUCAUUUAAUUUCAACGGAUAACAAGGGCACUGAAGAUGCGAAUAUGAUGACAAAAAGUAGUCUACAUUCAUUAUUAAAUACCUGAUACGUUAGUUAUAUAGUAUUUAAUAGCAAUGAUUAUGAAACGUCUCAUUAAAUGUUAUUUAUUAUAUAGAUCAAUACGUUACUCCUUGUCAACUAUAAAAGGAGGGAAUUUCAUCAUUUGUAUACACACAGAACAUUCUUGAUAUCAUAUUGAAAUAACAACUUCUUAUUGCUUUAUCUUUAUUCUCUGAAAGCCUUUUAUUUUGGUCUCUAGAUUAUCAGUAACCCGAUUUCUUCUNNNNNNNNNNNNNNNNNNNNNNNNNNNNNNNNNNNNNNNNNNNNNNNNNNNNNNNNNNNNNNNNNNNNNNNNNAGUAACCCGAUUUCUUCUCUCUAAAAUUCAAGCUUUGACCAAAUUACAUUUUUUGGUUAAACAAAUUGGUUCCGUUACCAGGAAUCUGAUAAUCCAUUCAUUCCAAAAUACCACUCAACUUGUUGCCAAUAUGUCAAACAACAAUGACAACAAUAACUAGGAAAAUCAGAUUCAUGAUGAUGAAUUCAACAAUGUUAACCCUCAAGCUUCUCCGCGUGAAUCUUGUGAAGGAACUCCGAAUGAUAUGGUUGAACAUGUAGACAGAGAAGCUGAAACAAGAGGUGAACCUUUAAAGAAAAUAAUUGCUCACGAAUUGAUAGAGCCUUGCAAGCAUUAGUUAGUCAAUUGCCUACUGUACCAGCAACGCCAAACAACAACCCAUUGGAAAACCCCCGCUCUAGUCUAGUUAAUUCUGGCAAUGGAGCAACUCCCAGUGACUCGCAAGAAGGAAAACCAGGUAAUACAUGUAAUUCUCAUCUUUUAAAAUUUGGUACUAACCUUGCAGAAACAACUCAAGGAGCAGAACGAGCAUAUUGAGCAAAUCCUUGGAAUUCCACCUGUGAUAAAAGAAGUGGAUGUGGAUAAAUACUCACAACAACCUUGGAAACCAAGUGAUGCUCCUCUACCAAUUCCAAAGAAAUUCAAAAUGCAUGACAUCACAAAAUAUGAUGGUACAACGGACCCUCGUGAUCACGUAACUGCAUUUACAACAGGAGUGAAAGAAAAUGUCUGACAUCCCAAAAUAUAAUUAUACAACAGACCACGUGACCACGUAACUUCAUUUACAACAGGAGUGAAAGGCAACGAUUUAACCAAACAAGAAAUUGAGUCAGUGUUGGUUAAAAAGUUUGGGGAGACGCUCACCAAGGGUGCAUUAACCUGGUAUUCUCUUUUACCUGUAAAUUCUAUAAAUUCUUUUGCUGAGCUUGUAGAUUUUUUAAAAAAAGCACACUCGGGAGCUCAGAAAUUUGAAAAAAGAAUGGAGGAUAUCUUCAAAAUCAAACAAGGGAGCUCUCAAUUGCUCAGAGAUUUCGUUGAUAUAUUCCAACGUGAAUAAAUAAUGUUACCCCGUGUACCAGAUAAUUGGGGAGCAAUAGCUUUUGCCAGUAAUUUGAACGACAAAAGUUCAGAUGCCACGAGAAGACUUAAAUAAAGCAUUCGUGAAUUUCCUGCAACUACUUGGAACGAUGUUUAUAACAGGUACAGUACGAAGCUCAGAAUUGAAGAAGAUACCGUAUCUCAACCUCAACGAGAAGAAAGGAGCGGGUCCAGAAGAUCUGAAGCCGAAAAAAGGUCAGGUAAGAACAGGUAUGAUCCAUUUAUGGGACCUGUAGGAAAAGACCCACGUUCUAGGCAACACAAUCAACAUUAUGAUCAAAGGUCAAAAGAUAGGGGAACCAGAUCUUCAUCCAGGUUCAAAGGCGAUCGAAACAACUAAGAGCCACGAGAUGAUGAUAGGAACUUAAUGGAAAUAUUUGUAGGUUAUAAUUUCAAUGUAACUAACUCCGAGCUCGUAGCUGUUCUAAGGAGUAUGGGAGAUAAGGUACGGUGGACAAAAGAGAUGCGGUCGAAUCCAAAUAGACGUAACCCAGACCAUUGGUGCGAAUUCACAACGAACAUGGACAUAAAACAUCAGAAUCUAGAUUUCUACAGAGUGGAGUAGAUCAUUUGUUGAAACAAGGAUAUCUCAUGGAACUGUUUAGUGAAUAGGGAAAGCAACCUUUAUGAAAAUAGGCAAGAGCCACCGAAACCACCUUCACCUAAGAGAAUAGUCAAUGUUAUCAGUGGAGGGGCAUAUAUAUACGGAGUAACUUACACGGCUUCAAAAAAAGUUUCCAAGAUGACGAUCACACACGGAAAGCGAGUACAGAAAACCUUAGAACAUGAGAGUAUAAGCUUCGAUGAUGCAGAUACGGAGGGCGUGACUGCACCUCAUAACGACGCUCUGGUAAUAUCUUUAAUUAUACAUGACACUGAUGUAAAAAGAGUUUGGAAGUUCUGUAAAUAUCAUUCUAAUAAGAGAGCUAAGGGAAAUGCAAGCUGAAAAUAAAAUGAUACCAAAGGCGCAUGCUUUGUCAGGCUUUGACAAUUCAAGUGUGGUAACAAAAGGUGAGGUGAUUCUGACGACUUAUGCUGCAGGUAUUAUUAAAGAAACUAAGUUUCAGGUAGUUGACAUGGAAAUGGCAUACAAUAUAAUUAUAGGGAGACCAUUGAUCCAUGAUAUGGAUGUUGUUCCAACAACCUUACAUCAAGUCAUUAAAUUUCCAUCACCGGGGGAAUAUGUCAAAUUCGAGGAGAUCAACAAAUAGCCAAGAGUAUCAACACAAUAACAGAUACGAGUACCGCGAGUAAAGAGAAAUAGUAAUUACUGGAAACAGUUGAAGGUAUCACCAACCAAACUUCAACUGAAAAAACGGAUUUAGAUUCGAGGCUCGAUGUAAUUCAAGAACCUGAUGAAAAUGAGAACAUCAAAAUGACAAUAGAGGAACUCGAGGAUGUGGUGUUAUUUGAACAAUGGCCAGAGAAGAAAGUUUACGUAGGAGUCAACCUAAAUCCCGAUAUGCGAGGUAUGUUAAUUGAAUUUUAAAAGCUAACGUGGAUUGUUUUGCCUGGUCCUAUGCUGAUAUGACAGGCAUUCCACCGGAUGUGAUGACUCACAAGUUUAAUGAAGACCCAUCUUUUACUCCAAUUAAGAAAAAGAAAAGAAAGCAGGGAUCUUUCAAAAAUCAAGUAAUCCAGGAUGAGCUCCAAAAGUUGUUGAAAAUCGGGUCAAUUUGUGAGGUAAAAUAUCCCGAUUGGUUAGCUAACACGGUGGUCGUACCUAAGAAGAAUGGUAAGUGGCUAGUUUGUGUAGAUUACGCUGAUCUAAAUAAAGCUUGCCUAAAAGAUUCUUUUUCUUUACCCCAUAUAGAUAAAUUGAUUGAUGCAACUGCAGGUCAUGAACUUUUAUUGAUCUAAACAAAGCUUGCCCAGAAGAUUCUUUUCCUUUACCCCAUACAGAUCAUUGAUUGAUGCAACUGCAGGUCAUGAACUUUUAAGUUUUUUAGAUGCAUACUCGGGGUAUAAUCAAAUUAAAAUGGACCCCAGUGAUGAAGAAAAACUUCCUUCAUCACAGACCGGGGGACUUACUGUUACAAAGUAAUGCCCUUCGAUCUAAAAAUUGCUGGAGCAACCUAUCAAAGGUUAGUUACCAAAAUGUUUCAAGAAUAUUUGGGAAAAACUAUGGAGGUAUAUAUAGACGAUAUGCUCGUCAAAACCCAGCAUUCUCAUGAGGUUAGUCACCAAAAUAUUUCAAGAAUAUUUGGGAAAAACUAUGGAGGUAUAUAUAGACGAUAUGCUCGUCAAACCCCAGCAUUCCCAUGACCAUAUUUUCCAUUUAACUAUUACCUUUGAAAUCUUGCGAAAAUUUAAUAUGAAACUCAAUCCUGAAAAAUGUGCAUUUGGAGUUGCUUUAGGUAAAUUUUUAGGUUUUCUUAUUUCUAACCGUGGUAUUGAGGUAAAUCUUUCCCAGAUUAAAGCAAUUGAAGAAAUACCUGAUGUCCUUACCAGUAAAAAGGAAGUUCAAAGAUUAACGGGAAGGAUAGCGACCUUUGGUAGAUUUAUUUCAAAAUCUUCAAAAAAAUGCUUCAAAAUUUUCUCUGCACUCAAAAAGCAAGAUCAUUUUGAGUGGAAUGAAGAUUGUCAACAAGCCUCGAGAGAUUUGAAAUUUUAUUUAUCAAAUCCUCCUUUACUAGCGAAACCUAAGGAAGGUGAGAAGUUACUAAUUUAUUUAGCAGUUUUAGAAAUGGCGGUAAGUGCAGCCUUAGUUCGUGAGGACCAAGGUAACCAAUCUCCAAUUUAUUAUGUGAGUAAAACAUUAUUAUAUGCAGAGACAAGGUAUCCACAACUAGAAAAAUUAGCAUUAUCUCUCAUCAUGGCAUCUAGAAAACUACNNNNNNNNNNNNNNNNNNNNNNNNNNNNNNNNNNNNNNNNNNNNNNNNNNNNNNNNNNNNNNNNNNNNNNNNNNNNNNNNNNNNNNNNNNNNNNNNNNNNNNNNNNNNNUUACUGAUUUCCCUUUACGAAGUAUCUUGCAUAAACAUGAACUAUCAGGGAGAUUAGCAAAAUGGGCUAUAGAACUAAGUGAAUACGAAAUAAUUUACUAACCCCGAACUGCUAUUAAAUAUCAAGUACUUGCCGAUUUUGUAGUUGAUUUUAGUCAAGGCAUGCGUUUAGAAGUAGAAAAAGAAUUACAAGUUUUUAAUGGUGCUAAUCCGGCGACUUGGCUAUUAUUUACUGGUAGUUCAUCUAAUGUAGAUGGGGCAGGUAUAGGAAUUGUUCUUAUACCACCUACAGGUGAAAUAAUUAAACAAGCUAUAAAAUGUCAUCCUGUAACUAAUAACAAAGUAAAGUAUGAAGUUGUGACUGCAGGUUUAUAGCUAGCAUUAGAACUGGGUAUCAUGCAAAUCGUAAUCAAAAGCAACUCACAGCGCGUAGUAAUUUGAAUGCUGGGGACAUACGUGGCUAGAGAAACUCGAAUGCAAGAGUAUCUCGCAAAGGUACGGGAAUUAAUAAGACAGUUCCAAACUUGAAAAGUGAUACCAAUUCCAAGAGAAGAAAAUUUGAAAGCGGAUGCUUUUGCCAAUCUCACAUCUGCAGCAGAAAUAGCGAAAGAUGCGAAUGCUUCAAUCAUACAUUUGUUCCACUCCGUUCUUGACCCUGAUAAANNNNNNNNNNNNNNNNNNNNNNNNNNNNNNNNNNNNNNNNNNNNNNNNNNNNNNNNNNNNNNNNNNNNNNNNNNNNNNNNNNNNNNNNNNNNNNNNNNNNNNNNNNNNNNNNNNNNNNNNNNNNNNNNNNNNNNNNNNNNNNNNNNNNNNNNNNNNNNNNNNNNNNNNNNNNNNNNNNCGGAAUCGUACCUGAAGACAAGGUGAAGGCUCAUGCACUAAGAAAGAAAGCUGCUCGUUAUUGCCUAUAUCAAGGAAAUCUUUACCAUAAAAUGUUUGGUGGACCAUUAGCCAGGUGUCUUGGGCCUUCUCAAACAGAAUAUGUGAUAAGAUAAGUACACGAAGGAAAUUGUGGGAACCAUGCAUGAGGCAGAUCACUUGUAAAGACAUUGAUUCCAGUAGGAUAUUACUGGCCUAAAAUGGAAGAAGAAGAGAAUGACUUCGUAUCUAAGUGUGACAAGUAUCAAAGGUAUGGGAAUAACAUGCAUAGACCAGCUGAUUUAUUACAUCCUGUCAUAGCUCCAAGGCCCUUCAUGAAAUGGCGAAUGGACAUCAAAGGACCAUUACCCCAAGCAAAAGGACAGACAAAGUUUCUACUCGUACUUACUGAUUAUUUCACUAAAUGGGUAGAAGCAGGAGCGUUUAAACANNNNNNNNNNNNNNNNNNNNNNNNNNNNNNNNNNNNNNNNNNNNNNNNNNNNNNNNNNNNNNNNNNNNNNNNNNNNNNNNNNNNNNNNNNNNNNNNNNNNUAAUUUGCCGCUUUGGUGUUCCAAAGGAGAUAGUGUGUGAUAAUGGACCACAAUUUAUAGGAGCUCAAGUCACAAAAUUCUUUCAAAGUUGGCAAAUAAAAAGAAUUACAUCGACACCGUACCAUCCAGUGGGUAAUGGGCAACCAGAGUCUACAAACAAAGUAAUUAUCAACAACCUAAAGAAAAGGUUACAAGAAUAAAAAGGCAAUUGGCCUGAAGUGUUACCAGCAGUAUUAUGGGCAUAUCGAAUGACGGUAAAAACAAGUACAGGAGAAACACCAUUUUCAAUGGUUUAUGGUGCGGAAGCUUUGAUACCAGUUGAGAUAGGUGAACCUAGUACACGACGUGUUCAAGCAGAGGAAAACCGAACAACGAAGAGUUACGAGUAAAUCUUGAUUUACUUGAAGGAAGAAAAGAAGCUGCAUUGAUAAGGAUGGCGGCUCAAAAGCAAGUAAUUGAGCGAUAUUACAAUAGGAAAGCACGCCUCAGGUUUUUUAAUGUUGGGGACUUCGUGUUAAAAAGGUUUUCCAAUCUACGAAGUCAGCUAUGUUAGAAAAUACGCUUAACGCUAGAGGGGGGUGAAUAGCGUUAUAAUAAAAAACAGCGUAAACUUGCGGAAUUUAAAAAUAGCAGGAAUAAAAUUGGGGACUUCGUGUUGAAACAAGUUUUCCAAUCUACAAAGUCAGCUAAUACAGGAAAGCUAAGUCCAAAGUGGGACGGACCUUAUCGAAUUCGAGAAAUUGCAGGGAAAUGAACAUACGAGCUAGAGACAAUAAAUGGCAAGGUUUUACCCUACAUUGGAAUGUUGUUCAUUUAAAGAGGUAUUAAUUUUAGGGAAGUACCCUCAAUCAGGUAUCUCCAUGUUAAAUUUUUUCCUUUGAAUUGUUAAAAUUAUACUAACGAUUUUAGAUGCUAGGAAAAAACCCUAACUCGUGCCAAAUGAUGAGUCACGGCCNNNNNNNNNNNNNNNNNUUAGAUGCUAGGCAAAAACCCUAUCUCGUGCCAAAUGAUGAGUUACGGCCUGCACGACAAAUUGGAAUACUAUUAAAUUCCUAGGCCAGGGUUACGUUAGUUUGAUGGAAAUACACACGGGUUAGGCAGUCUUCAUCUAUAAUCGCACCUUUGAGUCCCGUAUAUUUUUAUGUUUCAGGAAGAGGACCAAAAAUUGGGAGCAAAUACACAAGUGAUAGAGGCUUCAUACUUCACCACUCAAACACUUGGGGGACUAUACUAUGUAUACACGAGCAUGUGCAGAAGAAUGAAUACGAGUGCAGAAAACAAAUACGAGUGAGGCAAGAUAGCAAGAAGUCAAAUGUCAAGCAAAAAUCACGAAGCAAAAGACAAAAGCACUAAUCAUAAUGUUCUUUCCCAUGAGAACAAUGGAGUCACCUCUCAAACCAUUCCUAAUAUAAAAAUAUAGGGUCGUGACUAUGUAUCAAAAACUGGUUAUGAAAAACCUUGUAUUUUUUAUAAAUCUGUUAAAAGAAAACAGUUGCGAGAAAGUUGUAGAUGUACUUCAAUACAUGUANNNNNNNNNNNNNNNNNNNNNNNNNNNNNNNNNNNNNNNNNNNNNNNNNNNNNNNNNNNNNNNNNNNNNNNNNNNNNNNNNNNNNNNNNNNNNNNNNNNNNNNNNNNNNNNNNNNNNNNNNNNNNNNNNNNNNNNNNNNNNNNNNNNNNUACGUCUUCUUCAUUAAGUGUCGAUAAAACGAAACAUGUAUGUUCCUAUUUCUUUCAUCGUAUGAUAACACCAUUAUGAAGUUGAUACGUCUUCUUCAUUAAGUGUCGAUAAAUAAAAGGGCCCUCUUUUAUAUUCCUCAUGAUGAUACACAUGAAAUGAAUUAUGAAAGCAUUUUCUGAAAAGGAUAAAGAUGCUAACUUAUUCUCUACGUCCUAAUAAGAAAAAUAGGCAAGAAUAGGGUAAACAGAAAAUUGUUCUGCAAAGUCUAUAACAAAGUGAAUAAACAAGGAUGAAACAAAGAAAUAUUAUAUAAACUAUUUAGCACAAAAAGCUAAGGGAAAAAACUUAGCUAUUACAAUACAAUUGUGUUUCGAAACAGAUACCCCAUUAUAGAAACUAAGGACUUUACUAAAAAAUUACAUCAUCAAAAAUAAACAAAAGAAGUAAGUUUAAACAUUUUCACUGGUCACUGAGGAACUUGAAACAUUAGAAGUCGCAACAUUAUUAGGCUCGGUAGAAACUUCUAAAGGAGCAGCAAUAGAAGCAGUCUCAGCUGAAGUUGAAGUAUCAACAUUCUCGAGAUAAGCAGUAGAGACGGGGAUUUUCGUUCCUAAAGACUGUGUUGUAGAUAAAUUACCCUCGGUCACCGAAAUUGUAACUUCAAAAACUUCAGCUGUUGAUUCUAAGUUCAAAGGCUCUUUAACCCCGGGAGUUCCAAUUGUUGGAGAAGAAAUGUCAAUUACCUGGUCAGGAGAAGGAAUUUCAAUAGGUUGCUCAUUCUUCUCAAUCAUGUCUAAUACUUUGGCUAAAUCAUAUUGCAAGUCAAAUUUUUCUUGUGAAGCCUCAAUCAAAGCAUCACGACGAGAUUUCAAGAAAGCCCAGUUCUCAAUCAUGUCUAUAACUUUGGCUAACUCAGGUUGCAAGUCAAAGUUUUCUUGUGAAGCGUCCAUCAAAGCAUCACGACGAGAUUUCAAGAAAGCCCAGUUAAUCUCAGAAUUGAAAUUUUCUGCUAAAGAAUUAUAAUCCUUCUCCAGGUUUUCAUAAUCCCUCCCCCACGUAGCAAGGGUGUUCUUCAUCGUUUCUUGCUCAACUAGGUGGGAGUCAAGGGAAGUCUGAAGAUUGACACAUGAACUCUCCAACACACGAACCUUAUCUAAAGAAAUCCUCAAAUCAACCCGAGUCUGGUUCAAAGUUUGCACUAAUUCCUUGGCAUACUCUUCUUUUUUCUCCAUUAGUGCUUUGAGUUCUUUGAUUUUUCAUUAGCCUUUGACAAAGAAUCUUUCAAAAUCUCUUUAUCCUUUUUUUACUUGGCUCGUGGAAGCCGUGGCAAUCCCUAACUCCGAGGAUAAAGCUCGAUUUUGCUGUUCAAGUUGAAAUUUAGAUACUGCAACUCUUUAAUGCUCCCUAAAGCACCUUCGAAUUGUUCCUUCCAAUUUUGAGCCUCAAGCUGUGCUUCUUCAGAUAUUUUCUUAGCAUCAACAGCAGCCUUAGCAGACUCACGUGCAGUUUUCUCCAAAAUAGGGAUCCUCCCCAUUAAUAUAUUCUUUUAGCAUCAGCAACAGCGUUAGCGGACUCACAUGCCUUUUUCUCUAAGAUAUGGAUCCUCCCCAUCAACUCAGUUCCGAUCAAGUUUGCCUAUAAAAAUAAGGCAUAUAAAUAAGAACUUAAAGUCAAGGAAAAGUAAAUAAUCAAGGGUGAGGAAGUUACCUUCAGUGUUGAAUGAACUAUGUCAUUCAUCAAGGUAUAACAGUUGUGGCUCUGCAUCUUUGUUCUCUCCACAUCUCCAAUGAGAGGCCGAGCCAAACAUCAGCUUCACCAGUCUUCCUUAAUAGACUAUGAGUAGCAGGUACUUCAAGUGUAACCUUUCUCAUAGCCAUACCUCUGUUAUUCGGGCCAGAUUCAGAAUGAGAAAUAGAGGAAGAAAGAAUAGUGGAAGGAGAAGUAGUAGAAGAGGUGAAAACAAUAUGAGCGGCAGAAACCAAAGCAGAAGCUGAAGGAAAAGGCACGGGGGCUAAAACAUGAACGGGAGAAAAAGUUGAAGUAGCAGUGGAAGAUGUCAAAGGGAAUGAAAUAGGUAUGGAUGAAGGAGGAAUAGAAGAAGUAGGAGAGAUAGAAAUAGAAAUAGAUAAGGGAAUUUCAUUAAGAACGGGGCCAAGUUCCCCACUUUCAAAUCCACUCUCGAAGAGAUGGUGAACAAAUUCACUCGUGUCUCAAGGUGCGAGAUCUUCAUCGGAUUGGAGUAAAUCAUGCUCGGUAAUGGAAGUAACUACAGAAGAAGUAAUUACAGAAGAGAUAAGAGCAGGAGAAUCUUCAAUUUCUUCAUCCAUAACAACACGUCUCCUAGAUCUUGGUCUAGAUACCAAAGAGGUAUAUUCUUCUUCUUCGUUCUCAGUUUCCACUACCAUGGCUUUUCUUUUGGCUAAAAGUGUUUUAGCCUUGUCCAAGCCAAGGGAGGUGUUGGCAAUAGUGCGCAUAGCUAAAGCGAUAUCCGCUUCCAUCCCUUUUAUUCCAAAUCCUCAUAAAAAGAAAGGUUUGGAUUUAUUAUUUAAUAUUUGUACCUAUAAAACAUACACGAAAGGAGAUACAUACCGUGUGUUUUAACAAUCCACCAGUGUAAGGAAGAAAUAGACUUCCAAGUCCUAUCUUCCUUAGAAGCAACUUUCAAUAUUGAAUCUACCCGACCACGGAAGUUGGGAAUAGGUUCCACAUCCCUAUGGUUGCUACAAAUAAAUCAAAAAAGGGAUAAGUUUAAAGAUAAAAUCAAAAUCUUGGAAAAUAGAUACGGGAAAGGUAAGUAGAAAUUUACCUGCAAAAUUCCACUUCUCAGGGAAGGGAAUGUUUGCUUCUCCCAGCAAAUCCACUGUAUGAACAACAAUGUAACGAAGGUACCACCUUACGCCAUCUUACGUGCAAAAUUUCAUUUCUCAGGGAAGGGAAUGUUUGAUUCUCCCAGCAAAUCCACUGUACGAACAGCAAUGUAACGAAGGUACUACCCACGAUCUUUAUCGUCAUCAGCAUUUGCCAAAACUCUCUUACUCCUUGCAGUUAAGGUAAAAACCCCAUGGCGUAAUAAACUAGGGUGGUACAAAUGGAUAAGAUGGAAAAGGUAAAAUUGAUUUUUGCCUUAGAAGACAAGAAUCUUAAACAAGCUACAGCCCUCCAAACUAAAGGAUCAAUCUGAGCUAAGAAAAUAUUGAAAAAUCUACAAAAUUGAGGAUAACUGGAUCUAUGGCAGGUUUGAACCCCAAAGAUCUGAGCUAAGCAAAUAUUAAAAUAUCUACAAAAAUUGAGGAUAACUGGAUAUGGCCGGAUUGAACCCCAAAGUAAAGGGGUAGGUAUAAACAAAGGAAAACCAUUUCUAUAAGAUGAAAUUCUAUGGUUUAUAGAAGGGACUGAUAAACGAACACUCUCUUUCCAGUUGCAAUAUUUCUUAAUGGUGGGGAUUGUGAGUUCAGUUAUAAGAGAAGGAUAAUGAUCAUUCUUUUCCAAUUUUGCAAUUUAUUUUUGAAGGGAUGCUUUAUCACUUGCAAAAGACAACUUAUUUGGUAUAAUUUCUUCAAUUGUGGGUUCUAUUGAAAGACCUGAAACUUCUUUAUCUUUCGAAGAUUGAGUUUUGGAAGAGGAACCUUUGAUUCUAGAACCAGAAGAAGGAGGUACAGAACUAGUUGAACCUCCUCGUGUAGAUCCCAUACUUCGAAGUCAUCCUCCUCUGCCUCUUGAAUAUUUGAUAGGAGCAGGUGCAUUAGGAAAUUGAUGGAGAAGUAAAAUCUUUUUGAGGUUAGGGUUUGGAUAUGCCAUUGUUGGAUAAUCUUGAAGUAAGUAGAAGUAAAAGAAAGAGAGGAAAUGUGAAUGCUUGAUGGAAAUUGGUGAAUAAGAAGACAAUGAAAGUGUGAAUUAAAAGUUUAUAUGGGAACAACCGUCAAAAUUAAGGGGAGCAAUGAUGGAAAGCCUAUAUUAAAGAUAACCAUCACUUCGUAAAUAGAGGAAGUUUAUCAUGCCUCGAAAAAUGGGUGCAAAACUGCAGAUCUAAUCAGAAGUUGACACGUGUAUAGAGUAUUAAAUGAGAAAGACAGAAGAGACGUCGAUACUGACACAAGCAUUAAUUGUGACAAAUUUUUUUUUUCAGGAUCCACUUUUCAAUUAUUUAAUUGAUAAAUAAAUGAGAAUUUGGGGGUCUUUUUGUAUUGGGGAAAUACUGAAUUUAAAGUGAAGAUGACACGGCAUGGAACAUGGACUGGUCAAACAGUCAAAGAGUAGUAAAUGAUUAAAAAGGCACGGAAGACAACAUGCACGAGUGAAGAAAAUGAAACAGACACAAGAAAGGAUCUUAGAUACGAGUCUCGUGUCUAUUCAAGUCAUUUAAUUUCAACGAAUAAUAAGGGCACUGAAUAUGCGAAUCUGAUGACAAAAGGUAGUCUAAAUUCAUUAUUAAAUACCCGAUACGUUAGUUAUUUAAUAAUUAAGAGCAAUGAUUAUGAAACGUCUCAUUAAAUGCUAUUUAUUAUAUAGAUCAAUACGUUGCUCCUUGCCAACUAUAAAAGGAGGGAAUUUCAUCAUUUGUAGACACACAGAACAUUCUUGAUAUCAUAUUGAAGUAACAAGUUCUUAUUGCUUUAUCUUUAUUCUCUGAAAGCCUUUUAUUUUGGUCUCUAGAUUAUCAGUCACCCGAUUUCUUCUCUCUAAAAUUCAAGCUUUGACCAAAUUAUAUUUUUUGGUUAAACAAGGGGUAUAUACACUUUUUCCCAUCCAACUCUUAAUCGAG
rnacentral:lncRNA from 1 species